rnacentral:lncRNA from 1 species
GGCUGGAUGGUACCAGAAUUUCCCGCCACCACAGUGAGCGAAGAUCUAGCUUGGGGGAGAUCCUCUCCCCCACUAAGGUAAGUAUUCUAUCCUAUUUAUUUUCAUGCAUUUUAUCAUUCUUACUUAAAAAAUAAAUAAAUAUUUAUUAGCAUUUCCCUUUAGCAUAUAUGCUUCAUGUAUGUUUAUAUCCCUCAUGGAAAUGAUGACUAGUUGCUUGUUAAUGUUUCUCUAGUACCUAGUAUACAACUUAGUAUUUCUCUAAGUAUGGAUCACUUAGCUCACUUAAACUGCCAUGAACCCAAAAACUUUGUGGGUUGCAAGUGCUAGAACUAAGUCUAAGUUGUUGUGGGACAUGAGAUAGUAAGACAAGAGCUACUAUAAUAUUUUUUUAAGCAUGCAUGAUUAUCAGAGAUUUAUUCUUAAAAUGAUCAAAACCUUAAUUGUUCCUCAAUGGUGAUGAAUUCCUACCACAGCCAUAUCUACUUUACAUAAUUGCAACCUUUCCACAUAAGCUAUUUGCUUUGGGUUGAGUGUCGUCAAGUCUUGUUGACCCUUGUUAAGAGACUUUUCAUGCUCCUAAGAUCAAGAUCACGUACACACCACAUAUAUAUAUGCUGCUUCUACACUGGAAGUACGCAACCACAUGUAUUUCGCAUCCACUAAAUAGGUUGCUCCAUACUCUAAAUGUUAGAACAUCUCUCUAAGCAUUAUUUGGUAAAUGAGACAUCAAAAGGGCUAGGCAAAAUGAAAUAAAAAGAUGGACAUGUGCAAGUCCACAGAAAAAGAAAAUUGAGCACAUGAAAGCUCAUAUAUAUAUAAAAAAAAAGAAGAAAAAAAUGCUAGCCAUGUCUCAAUACAUAGAGAGUCUAUCAAAUAAAGGAGCAACCUAGUCCACCAUAUAUCACACUUGCACAUCUUGAUCUGGGAGUAUGACACUUCUCUUCAAGGAUCCGAGCUUUGACUUCGCAAUACAUGCAAAGUAAGUAUGCUAUCUCCUUUCAUCCCUACCUUGAACUCCACAUAAGCCUUUUAGAAAUAGGAUGAAAUAGAGAAGGCAACUCUUACCAUAUGCCUUGGUGAGGAAUCAUACACCAUUUGAGUGACAUGAGAGAACCAUAAGAGGAACAUUUAAGCUUUCUUUUGAAAAUAUCACAAAACCUCUGAUAUGAAACUUGCUAAGAAUGAGAAAGUUAGUGCUCAAGUCAAACUGUUCUGUCUCUCAACCACCUA